CCUACGGGAGGCAGCAGUGAGGAAUAUUGGUCAAUGGCCGAGAGGCUGAACCAGCCAAGUCGCGUGAGGGAAGACGGCCCUACGGGUUGUAAACCUCUUUUGUCGGGGAGCAAAGCGAACCACGUGUGGUUCAUUGAGAGUACCCGAAGAAAAAGAAUCGGCUAACUCCGUGCCAGCAGCCGCGGUAAUACGGAGGAUGCGAGCGUUAUCCGGAUUUAUUGGGUUUAAGGGGUGCGCAGGCGGAGGUGCAAGUCAGCGGUAAAAUUGCGGGGCUCAACCCCGUACUGCCGUUGAAACUGCAGCCCUUGAGUGCGCGAGAAGUAGGCGGAAUGCGUGGUGUAGCGGUGAAAUGCAUAGAUAUCACGCAGAACUCCGAUUGCGAAGGCAGCAUACCGGCGCGCAACUGACGCUCAUGCACGAAAGCGUGGGUAUCAAACAGGAUUAGAUACCCGUGUAGUC
rnacentral:rRNA from 1 species